GAUGAACGCUGGCGGCGUGCCUAAUACAUGCAAGUCGAGCGAAUGGAUUAAGAGCUUGCUCUUAUGAAGUUAGCGGCGGACGGGUGAGUAACACGUGGGUAACCUGCCCAUAAGACUGGGAUAACUCCGGGAAACCGGGGCUAAUACCGGAUAACAUUUUGAACCGCAUGGUUCGAAAUUGAAAGGCGGCUUCGGCUGUCACUUAUGGAUGGACCCGCGUCGCAUUAGCUAGUUGGUGAGGUAACGGCUCACCAAGGCAACGAGUCGUAGCCGACCUGAGAGGGUGAUCGGCCACACUGGGACUGAGACACGGCCCAGACUCCUACGGGAGGCAGCAGUAGGGAAUCUUCCGCAAUGGACGAAAGUCUGACGGAGCAACGCCGCGUGAGUGAUGAAGGCUUUCGGGUCGUAAAACUCUGUUGUUAGGGAAGAACAAGUGCUAGUUGAAUAAGCCGGCACCUUGACGGUACCUAACCAGAAAGCCACGGCUAACUACGUGCCAGCCGCCGCCGUAA
rnacentral:rRNA from 1 species